rnacentral:rRNA from 1 species
GACGAACGCUGGCGGCGUGCCUAACACAUGCAAGUUGAGCGACGAACCAGGGCUUGCCCUGGGGCAAAGCAGCGAACGGGUGAGUAACACGUGGGUAACCUACCCCGAUAACCGGGACAACCCGAGGAAACUCGGGCUAAUACCGGAUGUGCUCACUGGACUUCGGUUCAGUGCGUAAAGGAAGCUUCGGCCUCCGUAUCGGGAGGGGCCCGCGGCCCAUUAGUUUGUUGGUGAGGUAACGGCUCACCAAGACCGCGAUGGGUAGCUGGUCUGAGAGGACGAUCAGCCACACUGGGACUGAGACACGGCCCAGACUCCUACGGGAGGCAGCAGUGGGUAAUCUUGCGCAAAGCGCGAAAGCGUGACGCAGCAACGCCGCGUGGGGGAAGAAGGCCUUCGGGUUGUAAACCCCUUUCAGGAGGGACGAAGGUUCGGCGGUGAAUAGCCGUCCGGACUGACGGUACCUCCACAAGAAGCCCCGGCUAACUACGUG